rnacentral:misc_RNA from 1 species
UUUCCGUAGGUGAACCUGCGGAAGGAUCAUUAUUGUAUAACAGAGGUGCGAGGGCUGUCGCUGACCCGAAAGGUCGUGCACGCCCGAGUGCCCUCACACACAUCCAUCUCACCCCUAUGUGCACCACCGCGUGGGUCCCCCUUUGGCUUGUUCGGAGGGGGGCUUACGUGUUCACAAAAACUUUGUAUGCAGUGUAGAAUGUAUUUUUUUGUUUUUGCGAUCACGCAAUCAAUACAACUUUCAACAACGGAUCUCUUGGCUCUC